rnacentral:rRNA from 1 species
GGUUAAGUUAGAAAGGGCGCACGGUGGAUGCCUUGGCACUAGGAGCCGAAGAAGGACGGGACUAACACCGAUAUGCUUUGGGGAGCUGUACGUAAGCGUUGAUCCAGAGAUUUCCGAAUGGGGGAACCCACUAUCUUUAGUCGGAUAGUAUCCUUACGUGAAUACAUAGCGUGAGGAAGGCAGACCCAGGGAACUGAAACAUCUAAGUACCUGGAGGAAGAGAAAGAAAAAUCGAUUUCCUGAGUAGCGGCGAGCGAAACGGAAAGAGCCCAAACCAAGAAGCUUGCUUCUUGGGGUUGUAGGACACUCUAUACGGAGUUACAAAAGAAAGUUAUAAAUGAAGCGGUCUGGAAAGGCCCGCCAAAGACGGUAACAGCCCGGUAGUUGAAAUGGCUUUCCCUCCAGAGUGGAUCCUGAGUACGGCGGAACACGUGAAAUUCCGUCGGAAUCCGGGAGGACCAUCUCCCAAGGCUAAAUACUCCCUAGUGACCGAUAGUGAACCAGUACCGUGAGGGAAAGGUGAAAAGCACCCCGGAAGGGGAGUGAAACAGUUCCUGAAACCGUGUGCCUACAAGUAGUUAGAGCCCGUUAAUGGGUGAUAGCGUGCCUUUUGUAGAAUGAACCGGCGAGUUACGAUUUGUUGCAAGGUUAAGCGGAAAAAGCGGAGCCGUAGCGAAAGCGAGUCUGAAUAGGGCGCAUAAGUAACAGGUCGUAGACCCGAAACCAGGUGAUCUACCCAUGUCCAGGAUGAAGGUAAGGUAAUACUUACUGGAGGUCCGAACCCACGCACGUUGAAAAGUGCGGGGAUGAGGUGUGGGUAGCGGAGAAAUUCCAAUCGAACUUGGAGAUAGCUGGUUCUCUCCGAAAUAGCUUUAGGGCUAGCCUCGAGGUAAAGAGUCAUGGAGGUAGAGCACUGUUUGGACUAGGGGCCCUUCUCGGGUUACCGAAUUCAGAUAAACUCCGAAUGCCAUGUACUUAUACUCGGGAGUCAGACUGCGAGUGAUAAGAUCCGUAGUCGAAAGGGAAACAGCCCAGACCACCAGUUAAGGUCCCCAAAUAUAUGUUAAGUGGAAAAGGAUGUGGGGUUGCUUAGACAACCAGGAUGUUGGCUUAGAAGCAGCCACCAUUGAAAGAGUGCGUAAUAGCUCACUGGUCGAGUGACCCCGCGCCGAAAAUGUACCGGGGCUAAACAUAUUACCGAAACUGUGGAUGAACCUCUUUAGAGGUUCGUGGUAGGAGAGCGUUCUAAGGGCGGUGAAGUCAGACCGGAAGGACUGGUGGAGCGCUUAGAAGUGAGAAUGCCGGUAUGAGUAGCGAAAGAAGGGUGAGAAUCCCUUCCACCGAAUAUCUAAGGUUUCCUGAGGAAGGCUCGUCCGCUCAGGGUUAGUCGGGACCUAAGCCGAGGCCGAUAGGCGUAGGCGAUGGACAACAGGUAGAGAUUCCUGUACCAGUGCUAAUUGUUUAACCGAUGGGGUGACACAGAAGGAUAGGGAAUCGCACGAAUGGAAAUGUGCGUCCAA